GGCUGAACAUAAAAAAGACACCUUGAUGUUCUUGCUUAUGGAGAGCUUUGGCAAAGCUUGUUUUCAGGGAUCUUAACUCUAAUCAUUUUACCUCUCAAUACAGAGCCAGUGGGGAGUGGAGCUCAGAGUCCUUAUCUGAGAGCAAGGAGACCUGGCUUCUAGCGCCUAUUAGGUCAGAGUAAGUGGGAUUUUGUUAUAGCUGGUACUUGGAGUUCUCAUUCACAAAAUGAGAAAACAGAAUUAGGUAUUCCUAAGGAUUUUUCUGCUCCUUGUGUUUAUAAAGUGAGUCCUACAUGUUUCUUAAAAACCUCUUUUAGUAUUUGCCUUAAACAAGAGCUGCAUGCUGGGAUCACGGAAGAGGAGUGGGCCAUAUGUAAGAAAAGAGAGCAGAGACGAGAAUGCAGAUACAUGUGAGAAGUGAAUAUUCUGGAAGAACUCGAUGGGAAGAACAUCUAUGGACAGUCUUCUGAGUGAUGCUCAGAACAAAGUUUAAAAUCAGGCAUUUUCACUUCAAACUUUUCCAUCCUUCUACCCUGAAGAGAGACAACCUGAAGUUUCAGCCCCCAGGGCAGGAGCCCCAGGGAUGUUCUGAAGACACCCAGGGUAGAAGCACUGUGUCAUUCAAGCAUUCCUGAUGGCUGGAGAGCCAUCCUCAAAGUGGCACUGGCAAAGUGCGGUACUUGUCAGGAUUCCAGCCUUGAGACCACUUGGGCUGCCUGUCAGCAAACUCCAUGUUGGUGUCUGGAGCAGGUAGCAGCUGCAGGCUGUAACGUCCUCCGCUACGGCAUUCACUUCCAGGCUCACAUGCAAAUCGCCAGCAACUAUGAAGAGAAUAACUCCCAGCUUCCAGGCCCACACAGUUUUGCUGAUCACGAAUGAAAUCUUGAAGAACAUCCAUCUCUUGUGCUGGUUCCACCACCGGUCAGAAGAAUGAAAAUUGCAGAUACCUAUUCUGUGUGUUACUCUCCAGAAUGGUGGAUGUUAGAGACCCUACUAAGGAUUUGUGGACUCACUAACAUAGUCUCUAAAAGGUAAGGGCAGAGUUUGGAGCUGACCUAUGCCCGGCCUCUGUUUCACUCUCCAGAAUCUUCUGCUUUCUUCCAUGGUAACUAUUCAUUGAUGCUUAUUUCAUUAUGUCUCUUUAUUUGUAUGAAUAAUCAUAUCCUUGUAUAUCAAAGGUGAGAGAUUCUCUAAUAGAGUUUUAACCUACCAUUUUAAACCAGGAUCCAUCUAUAGUCUAUGAAGUUCCAUAAGUACUAUAAAAAUAAAAAAAAUUUAAAUCAAUAUUGCC
ensembl:lincRNA